rnacentral:lncRNA from 10 species
CGCGCCUCUCCCUCCCCACCUCCCUGCAAGCAGACGGAGCCGGUUCCGACCUCAGCCAGCCCAGAGAGAGGCUCCCAUAGUGCAGCGGCGGGCUGAAGGGCUCGUCAAGCAUGGCCAGAGUGGGCACCGAGGCCGAGGAGGCGCCGAGAGCGAGGGAGGGCAGCCAGCACGCUGUCACCUCUCACUGGGACACAGUUCAGAGCCUAGCCCUGUGGUAACACUUCUUGAUAACAAAGAACAGAAUCAUAGGAGAGAGGAGCACCAGGGGUUGACAGAAGCAGCCUUUGAAUCAGGAAGCAUCAGGACUACAAGUGGGAGGGCAGAAUCCACCUCCCUCAAUAUGCUGAAGCAGAGAAAACUCCAGAGAACGGCCAGGGCAUCCUGGGAUUACAAGCAGCAGAGGGCAGUGUAGAUGCAAAGGAGGAACCAGUUGGCAUGAUGACAACGUAUUUGGCCCUGGCAAUAGAUUAUGGCUGGUACAAACCAGUUCUCAGGAUAUCUUACAACUAGAGGCAGCCUUAAGACCCUGUUUUGUCGAGAAUACCUACUUGGAAGUCUAGUCAAAAGGUAUUUAUUAAGGUUUUUGCUUUCCUGGUUAAAGGAGAUGGUUGUAGCUACCCAUCCUUUCUUGUUCUUCACCCUUCUUUUUGCCUUGAAUGGAGUCAGGGUAGUUGGGACUGCAAAAGUCAUUUUGUGACUAGAGAGAUCACCUUAACCUCACUGAGCUUCUGAGUCAAGUCAAUAACUGUGUAUCUCCAGACUUUUUAUUGUAUGAAGGGAAAAAGAGUUCUAUUUAUUUAUGCAACUAAUGACUUUUACUUGACUUGAAGGCAUUCCUGAACAUAAACACUGCUACUUUUGCAACUGCUUUUGAGACAUAUUUAUAGAGUUCAUCAAAA